GUAGAUUUAUGUUGAACAUUAGUGACCGAGUUACCUUCAAAAUGUGUUUAUUUUUUCUUUCAACAACCCCAUUAUGUUCACUGGUGUAGGCACAAGUUGUCUAGUGAAUUAUCUUAUUAGACACUCUAAGUAGGCAUAAAAUCUACUAUUCAUAUAUUCUGUACUGUCGUCUGCUCUUAAAAUUUUAAUUUGAGUAUCAAACUGUGUACAUACCAU
rnacentral:lncRNA from 1 species